AUCGCUUCUCGGCCUUUUGGCUAAGAUCAAGUGUAGAAAUUCGUAGUUUAUAGCUGCUGCUUCUUGCUAUGCCCCAAUAAACUAUUCUAUAGUAUGUUUAAAUUCUCCUUAUAUAUGUGGAAAAUCAUU
rnacentral:snRNA from 1 species